CUCAAGAGCCUUCCCAAUGUCCUUCGAUUCAUAAAGAGAAGAAGCAGUCUCCAAAGCACUCUUAGCUUGAUGAAGCUGAGAGAGCUCUUUCUCAGCAUUGGAAUCGCCUGGAUGUAGCUCUAGGUACUUAUGGUAGCUAUUUUCAGAGUCUUCGUAUCUACAGCACUUGAACAGUAAAAUUCAGGGCCUUUUCAAAUGAAAACGAAUGCCAACCUUUCCUUACCUGCAAAAAUGACGAAGGACGGAUGCACGUUUGAAAUAAGCAUCAGAAAGUGCAGGGUCUACUUCAAUAGCAGCAUUGAGAUCAUCCAGGGCAUCGCUAAAACGCUUGACCUUGAUGCUUUGUGAAGCCCUCUCAAAUAACUCAGCUGCAUCUACAGAUUGACCAUCUGUACAAAAAUUACAUAAGCAAAAAAAAUUUAAAAAAGAACACACUCAACGACCAUAGUGAAAUGCAUUCAGUGACAUACAAAACAGAGUCCUCAUCUCGAAUCCGAUCCAAUCACAAGGAACCCUCAAUAUCCUCCACAUAGCGAAGGAGAUUGCCACAAAGAGACGAGAGGAUGGAGAAACUUUCCAGAAAAUAUAGAAUCAAUUCGCCAUUUCAUGCAAAAUUCUAAACCCUAAACAUUCCCAAAUCAACUAACAUCGAUUUUAUCAAACGAAUCCAGAAAAAAAUUACCUAAAGCGGAGACGAGAGGAUGGAGAAGAAGAAGCUGGCAAGCGAAGACGAAGUUGAGGAGAAGAAGAGUGUACGCCAUUCCUCUCCACGCUAAGAUAUCCAUACCCGACCCGAUUCGUAACAGAUCCAUUCUCAAUUUCAAUUCAUAAACAUACAAGUGUGUGUAUACGCGACCUUACACCCCCAAAUGAUUUGGAGUGUUCUGAAUCAGAGAGGCGAACGAAGAAGAAGAAUCUCUGAUUCAAGCUCGCACGAACUCGCGUUUUCAGAUUAUCGUCCUCGAUCGAUUUUUAAGCUUUAGAUUUUGAUUUUGCAGUGCGACUGGUAAGAACACGUUGGUUUAUCCAAUAAAUAUGCUCCACGUGUAGCCUGUUUUAAGUAGGUCCUACUACCGUAUACGUCUGCUAAUGAAAAGCUAACACGUGUGAAUGAGGUAUUUACACGCUGGCCUAACUCUGCCACGUAAGGUUACUAGGCUAUUGGGCCCCUAAUGAGAUUCUACACGAGAUUUAGAAAAUUGAGGGUCAUAAAUAGAACCUGACGAGCUCAAUAUGGGCUUUUGUCGUAUUUUAUGGGCCUAUAAUGUCAGUGUUAAUAACCGGUUCAGUAACAAAUUUUAACAAGAAAAAAGAGAAAUUCAGGUUUAGCAAAAACGUACGAAAUCCUAUCUCCAUGAAAUAAAUCGGAUUUUUAUUUCAUUUUUUUUCUUCAUAACUCUCUUGAUUUGGAUGAAAAUAAACAUUACUUUUCCAAAACGUUAUUAUUCUUAAAAUGCUUUUAAACUUUAAAACUAGCUAUUUAAAUAGUAAAAUAACAUAUAGAAAUUAAAGGCCUACAUAUAUAGCGAUGUUGGUAGAGUGCUCUUUCUUUUCAUGAAUCCUUGCAUUUCUGGCUUAUGGUUAGUGUGGCACUUAGGCUUAGUUAUUGGUGGGGAAAUUAACUUUUACAAUUAUAUAUUGUGUUUGACAAUGAAAAAGGAAUAGUGCAUGGAUCCACAAAACGACAUAUUUCAUUUUUUCUCUAUCUCCUGUGGAUGAGUUAGAGAUAAGUCAAAAUAAAGACAAGGCCUAUAUGUCUACUGAAAGCUGAUAUCGUUAAAAAUAUAUUUAGUUUUUGCAGAAUCCAAAGGAACAUAGACCUCCCAUCUCGAGAACAUGGGUCUGCAUCAAGUUACCUAUAUUGAAAGGAAAUUUAAACAAUAAUGUCGUUUUUAGGUUUAUGUAGUUCUAUAUAAAAUUAAAAUUGCUUCACGGAUUACAGAUUAUAAAGAAACAGUUAUGUAAACCUACGUAACUGAGAUAUUACUAUGACGUUAAAAACUAUAAGUUUACUUCUUAUAUUUUACCUUUGAUGCGACAUUGUGGUCAAGGAGAAUGUUUUUAGGUUAUUAAUUGUAUGAAGCUGAGAGAGCUCUUUCUCAGCAUUGGAAUCGCCUGGAUGUAGCUCUAGGUACUUAUGGUAGCUAUUUUCAGAGUCUUCGUAUCUACAGCACUUGAACAGUAAAAUUCAGGGCCUUUUCAAAUGAAAACGAAUGCCAACCUUUCCUUACCUGCAAAAAUGACGAAG
rnacentral:lncRNA from 1 species